GACGAACGCUGGCGGCGUGCCUAAUACAUGCAAGUAGAACGCACAGUUUAUACCGUAGCUUGCUACACCAUAGACUGUGAGUUGCGAACGGGUGAGUAACGCGUAGGUAACCUGCCUGGUAGCGGGGGAUAACUAUUGGAAACGAUAGCUAAUACCGCAUAAUAUUGAUUAUUGCAUGAUAAUUGAUUGAAAGAUGCUAUUGCAUCACUACCAGAUGGACCUGCGUUGUAUUAGCUAGUAGGUGAGGUAACGGCUCACCUAGGCGACGAUACAUAGCCGACCUGAGGGGGGGAUCGGCCACACUGGGACUGAGACACGGCCCAGACCCCUACGGGAGGCAGCAGUAGGGGAUCUUCGGCAAAGGACGAAAGUCUGACCGAGCAACGCCGCGUGAGUGAAGAAGGUUUUCGGAUCGUAAAGCUCUGUUGUAAGAGAAGAACGGGUGUGAGAGUGGAAAGUUCACACUGUGACGGUAUCUUACCAGAAAGGGACGGCUAACUACGUG
rnacentral:rRNA from 1 species